rnacentral:rRNA from 1 species
GUGCCAAGCAGCCGCGGUAAUCCCAGCUCCAAUAGCGUAUAUUAAAGUUGUUGCCGUUAAAAAGCUCGUAGUCGAACUUCGGCGCCUGAUGGCCGGUCCGCCUUCUUGGUGUGUACUUGCUCAUCGGGCGCUUACCUCCUGGUGAACUCUGAUGUCCUUUACUGGGUGUCAGAGCAAACCAGGACGUUUACUUUGAAAAAAUUAGAGUGUUCAAAGCAGGCCUACGCCCGAAUACAUUAGCAUGGAAUAAUAGAAUAGGACGCGCGUUCCCAUUUUGUUGGUUUCUGAGAUCGCCGUAAUGAUUAAUAGGGAUAGUUGGGGGCAUUUGUAUUCCGUCGUCAGAGGUGAAAUUCUUGGAUUGCCGGAGGACAAACUACUGCGAAAGCAUUUGCCAAGGAUGUUUUCAUUGAUCAAGAACGAAGGAAGGGGGAUCGAAAACGAUCAGAUACCGCUGUAGUCUCUUCUGUAAACUAUGCCAAUUGGGGAUUAGCACAGGAUUUUCAAUGACUGUGUUAGCACCCGAAGAGAAAUCUUUAAAUGAGGUUCGGGGGGGAGUAUGGUCGCAAGGCUGAAACUUAAAGGAAUUGACGGAAGGGCACCACCAGGUGUGGAGCCUGCGGCUUAAUUUGACUCAACACGGGGAAACUCACCAGGUCCAGACACAAUAAGGAUUGACAGAUUGAUAGCUCUUUCUUGAUCUUGUGGUUGGUGGUGCAUGGCCGUUCUUAGUUGGUGGAGUGAUUUGUCUGGUUAAUUCCGAUAACGAACGAGACCUUAACCUGCUAAAUAGACCAGUCGACUUUGGUUGACUGCUGUCUUCUUAGAGGACUAUCAGCGUUUAGCUGAUGGAAGUUUGAGGCAAUAACAGGUCUGUGAUGCCCC